rnacentral:rRNA from 1 species
GACGAACGCUGGCGGCGUGCUUAACACAUGCAAGUCGAACGGAAAGGCCCAGCUUGCUGGGUACUCGAGUGGCGAACGGGUGAGUAACACGUGGGUGAUCUGCCCCUGACUUUGGGAUAAGCCUGGGAAACUGGGUCUAAUACCGGAUAUGACCUUACAUCGCAUGGUGUUUGGUGGAAAGCUUUUGCGGUUGGGGAUGGGCCCGCGGCCUAUCAGCUUGUUGGUGGGGUAAUGGCCUACCAAGGCGACGACGGGUAGCCGACCUGAGAGGGUGAUCGGCCACACUGGGACUGAGACACGGCCCAGACUCCUACGGGAGGCAGCAGUGGGGAAUAUUGCACAAUGGGCGCAAGCCUGAUGCAGCGACGCCGCGUGAGGGAUGACGGCCUUCGGGUUGUAAACCUCUUUCACCAGGGACGAAGCGUGAGUGACGGUACCUGGAGAAGAAGCACCGACCAACUACGUG